rnacentral:rRNA from 1 species
UACGGAGGGUGCGAGCGUUGUCCGGAAUCAUUGGGCGUAAAGGGCUCGUAGGCGGUCCGUCACGUCGGGAGUGAAAACUUGGGGCUUAACCCCAAGCCUGCUUCCGAUACGGGCGGACUAGAGGUAGGCAGGGGAGAACGGAAUUCCUGGUGUAGCGGUGAAAUGCGCAGAUAUCAGGAGGAACACCGGUGGCGAAGGCGGUUCUCUGGGCCUUACCUGACGCUGAGGAGCGAAAGCGUGGGGAGCAAACAGG